rfam:Clostridium grantii DSM 8605 genome assembly, contig: EJ34DRAFT_scaffold00040.40
UAAAUUGAGAGUUUGAUCCUGGCUCAGGACGAACGCUGGCGGCGUGCUUAACACAUGCAAGUCGAGCGAUGAAGUUCCUUCGGGAACAGAUUAGCGGCAGACGGGUGAGUAACACGUGGGCAACCUACCUCG